rnacentral:lncRNA from 1 species
CACACUGUUUGUUUGUUUGUUUGUUUUGGUACCAGGGAUCGAGCUCAGGGGCACUUAAACCAGUGAGCCACAUCCCCUGUCCUUUCUAAGUUUUUACUUUGAGACCGUGUCUAAGUUGCUAUGGGCCUCACUAAGUGGCUGAGACUGACCCUGAACUUGUGAUCCUCCUGCCUCAGUCUCCGGAUCCUCUGGGAUUUCAGAUGUGGGCCACGGCACCUAGUUCUUUCUCACUUUCUUUCUAAUUCCCGAAUACAGUACCUGGAAUAUUAAGUGUUUAAAAUACAAAAUAUAUGUGGCUGUGUAUAACUACCAGGGCUGAUUAAAAGCAGUAUCUAUAUAGAAAAGGUAAGAAGAAUCCAGUUUUCCACCACCCAAAGGUGGCCACUGGGCAGUUUUUGAUUGUGGUUUAUCUGAGCACUUGAAGCAAUGUGGGAGUGGUUUUUAUUUGAACUUCUAAAUGUGUUUUUUUAUGAGCUUACAGAGUGACCAAUAGAGCUGGAUGGAUACCUUCCCUGUGGCCAGGGAGCUGGACAGGGACCUGCCCUGUGGCUAGGGAGCUGGAUGGACAGGGGAGCUGGAUGGGGACCUGUGCUAUGGCCAGGGGAGCUGCCCGCCCAAGUGGAGCACUCGGUGUCCGUGGAGAGACAUGCAGCUGCCAGGAAAAUGGCACAAAGUACAUCAGGGAGACGCAUUCCAGGGGCUGUGCCCAGUGGGACCAGGGAUUCAUUUCCUGCAGAUGAGGUCAAAUUAUUAUCUAGAAGGUGUUUUACCAAGUGGUUAAACAAAAACAAAGUGAGGAUUUUUAAAAAACUAAUAUUUGUUAAAGUCUGUUCCAUGUGAAUAUGUUAAGAAAAUAAUUCUUAGACAAAGUAGCAAGGCCAAGACUGCAGCUGCCAGCCCCUGCCCGAAUCUUUGGACAGGAUGACUCUCUCUGUGUCCUGACUUGGGGUCAGCAGACCCAGCAUAUCCAUGGCCAUG